UACGGGGGGGGCAAGCGUUGUUCGGAAUUACUGGGCGUAAAGCGUGCGUAGGUGGUGAGUUAAGUCUGUCGUGAAAGCCCCGGGCUCAACCUGGGAAUGGCGAUGGAUACUGGCUCGCUAGAGUGCGGUAGAGGGUGGUGGAAUUCCCGGUGUAGCAGUGAAAUGCGUAGAGAUCGGGAGGAACAUCAGUUGCGAAGGCGGCCACCUGGACCAGCACUGACACUGAGGCACGAAAGCGUGGGGAGCAAACAGG
rnacentral:rRNA from 1 species